rnacentral:tRNA from 1 species
GGGCUUUAGGUUAAUUUUAAACUUUUGAAUUUCAAAUUCAAAGAUUGAACAGCUCA